UACGUAGGUGGCAAGCGUUGUCCGGAUUUAUUGGGUUUAAAGGGUGCGUAGGCGGCUCCUUAAGUCAGUGCUGAAAUAUCCCGGCUUAACCGGGAGGGUGGCAUUGAUACUGAGGAGCUUGAGUACAGAUGAGGUAGGCGGAAUUGACGGUGUAGCGGUGAAAUGCUUAGAUAUCGUCAAGAACACCGAUAGCGAAGGCAGCUUACUAGGCUGUAACUGACGCUGAGGCACGAAAGUGUGGGGAUCAAACAGG
rnacentral:rRNA from 1 species